AACAAGCUGAAGAAAAACUUUCUGAUACCCGCAAGGAUGGCAACGUCUUCAUCGUCGACUUCAGUCGAGCAUCAUCAGCACCAACCCGGGGAGUAUAGGAACUCCGAGCCCGGGAUGUACACGGAUGUCAUGGAAACGUUCUUGGAAUGAAAUGCAGAAG